rnacentral:lncRNA from 1 species
GAGAGUGAAGCAUUCAUUUAUAUUAUAUAGUAUCAGUUCAAUAGCGCGACGACGUGAGACUAUAUUUUUAAACUAAUGUUGUUUUGAGAAAACUAGAUCUUUUUAAUUAAAUUGAAUUGAUUUUCAAAAAGUAUUUUUAUAAGUAAGUGCGAGAGCGAAAGUGAAACAUUUAUUUUAUAUCUAUACGAUAUUACUCAAUAGCGCGAGAGUGUGAGACGCGUAUCUUUUAAUCA